GUGCUUGCUUCAGCAGCACAAAUACUUAAGUUAGAAUGACACAGAAAGAUUUUCAUGGCCCCUGCUCAAGGAUGACAUGCUAAUUCAUAAAUAUUCAAUAUUAUU